rnacentral:rRNA from 1 species
GUGACUCUGUUUAACGGCCGCGGUAUUCUAACCGUGCGAAGGUAGCGUAAUCACUUGUUCUUUAAAUGAGGACUAGUAUGAAUGGCAUCACGAGGGUUAUACUGUCUCCUUUUCCAAAUCAGUGAAACUAAUCUCCCCGUGAAGAAGCGUGGAUAAAAAUAUAAGACGAGAAGACCCUAUGGAGCUUAAAACUUUCAACAAUUAUAUUUUAUUUAUAAACCUAAAGGUAACUAAACUAAUCCUUAUAAUAUGUUUGUUAGUUUUCGGUUGGGGUGACCGCGGAGUAAAACCUACCCUCCAUAUUGAAUUAAAUUAUUCUUAUUAGCAAAAAACUACAAUUUUAUGCAUCAAAAAAUUGACAUUAUUGACCCA